CCAAGCACUUUGUGUUACACUGAGGCAUCAAGAACGGGCAGAGUAAAGACAACACUUUUGGGUGAAGUGGCGGCAUGUUGUGUUCUUUGGUUUCAGUCAGCUGUGUAACAAGG
rnacentral:snoRNA from 1 species